rnacentral:sRNA from 1 species
GUGGAGACCAUGAACGGCCCUCAGUAGGCUCCGGACUGUCAGAAUAGCCUUUGGAAGGAACUCCUUUGUGGCUGCGUGGUGCCUGGAGUGGGGGGGCAAGAACGGGAGAGAGGAGACCAGUGAGAAGUUACAGAUUUUAGGGUAAAUGGUAAUGGGGAAAGGAGGUGAUAAUAAUAAUAGCAAGUACCUACCCAGUGCUGCUAGAGUGUAUUUUACACGUUAACUCCUUUCAUCCUCACAAAAGCUCAGUGAGAUUGGGACUGUUGUUAUUAUUAUUCCCUUUACGCAGUGAGAGAACUGAGGCCCAGAGAGAUUAAGUAUCUUGCCCAAGGUCACACUUUAGUAAAAGGCAAAGUCAGGAUUUGAAUCCACACACUUAUCUAGUACACUCUAAGACACAGGGGCAGAUUUUAGUAAACAGUAGGAGAUGGACUCUCAGAAUUUGGUGCCUGGGGAGAGGGAAGAGGAGAGAGAUGCCUGGUGACAAGCCCAGCCCUUGCCUCUCCACAGGAGAGUGGGAACAAUGAGGUCAUCUUCAUGGCCUUGGACUUGGCCAGUCUGGCCUCGGUGCGGGCCUUUGCCACUGCCUUUCUGAGCUCUGAGCCACGGUUGGACAUCCUCAUCCACAAUGCCGGGAUCAGUUCCUGUGGCCGGACCCGCGAGGCGUUUAACCUGCUGCUUCGGGUGAACCAUAUUGGUCCCUUUCUGCUGACACAUCUGCUGCUGCCUUGCCUGAAGGCAUGUGCCCCUAGCCGCGUGGUGGUGGUAGCCUCAGCUGCCCACUGUCGGGGACGUCUUGACUUCAAACGCCUGGACCGCCCAGU